GAACGCUGGCGGCAGGCCUAACACAUGCAAGUCGAGCGGUAACAGAAAGUAGCUUGCUACUUUGCUGACGAGCGGCGGACGGGUGAGUAAUGCUUGGGAACAUGCCUUGAGGUGGGGGACAACAGUUGGAAACGACUGCUAAUACCGCAUAACGUCUACGGACCAAAGGGGGCUUCGGCUCUCGCCUUUAGAUUGGCCCAAGUGGGAUUAGCUAGUUGGUGAGGUAAUGGCUCACCAAGGCGACGAUCCCUAGCUGGUUUGAGAGGAUGAUCAGCCACACUGGGACUGAGACACGGCCCAGACUCCUACGGGAGGCAGCAGUGGGGAAUAUUGCACAAUGGGCGCAAGCCUGAUGCAGCCAUGCCGCGUGUGUGAAGAAGGCCUUCGGGUUGUAAAGCACUUUCAGUCAGGAGGAAAGGUUAGUAGUUAAUACCUGCUAGCUGUGACGUUACUGACAGAAGAAGCACCGGCUAACUCCGUGCCAGCAGCCGCGGUAAUACGGAGGGUGCGAGCGUUAAUCGGAAUUACUGGGCGUAAAGCGUACGCAGGCGGUUUGUUAAGCGAGAUGUGAAAGCCCCGGGCUCAACCUGGGAACUGCAUUUCGAACUGGCAAACUAGAGUGUGAUAGAGGGUGGUAGAAUUUCAGGUGUAGCGGUGAAAUGCGUAGAGAUCUGAAGGAAUACCGAUGGCGAAGGCAGCCACCUGGGUCAACACUGACGCUCAUGUACGAAAGCGUGGGGAGCAAACGGGAUUAGAUACCCCGGUAGUCCACGCCGUAAACGAUGUCUACUAGAAGCUCGGGUCCUCGGACUUGUUUUUCAAAGCUAACGCAUUAA
rnacentral:rRNA from 1 species